UUUACCUACGGGACGCAGCAGUGGGGAAUAUUGCACAAUGGGGGGAACCCUGAUGCAGCGACGCCGCGUGGGCGAUGGAGUAUUUCGGUAUGUAAAGCCCUAUCGGCAGGGAAGAAGAAAGACGGUACCCGACCAAGAAGCCCCGGCUAACUACGUGCCAGCAGCCGCGGUAAUACGUAGGGGGCGAGCGUUAUCCGGAAUUACUGGGUGUAAAGGGAGCGUAGACGGCGAGGUAAGCCUGAAGUGGAAGCCCGCGGCCCAACCGCGGAACUGCUUUGGGAACUGUUUUGCUGGAGGAUGGGAGG
rnacentral:rRNA from 1 species